CCCCUCUCAGGGUCACACCUGGAGAGUUUUCAGUACUCUACCAGUCUUGACUAUGGGAGGGAGAGUCAAGGAGAGGUAUACCCAUUCCAUUCCUAGCUUGGGCAAUGGCUAGUGAGUGGAAGGCAAUCUGCUACAAGU
rnacentral:snoRNA from 1 species